UGUAAGCUCCUCUCGAUUGUUCGUCUAAACCUCCUUUUCUCACUCAGUCCGAUGAUGGAAUAACUUGUCCCGUGUCUGAAACUGCUCGCAUAACGGUACCUGGCGUUUAUCCUGCGGUUUGAAGGAAACGCACUGCAAGCCUGUUACUGGACCUCAAUAUGCCCAUCAAGCUGUGCAUUUUCGGUUUACGUUUACCACAUAAGAAUUCAUAAAUUCCUGUGGUGGAAUUCUUCCUGAUGGGCUUAUGUACAGCUGCGAUGUGGUGGUGAGUCAUCAGCGGGGGUGGGGACAUGCCACUGACCCAAGUACCUGAAUGCACAAAGUGUCCCCCAGUCCAUACCAGGAUUUCUAGUGAGCUCAGAAGAGGAAGAGCAGAAGAGCUCAGUGUUGGGCUCAUCAGAGAAGAGAGUGCUGUUGCUGGCACUUGUGUCUGCUUUUUGAUAUUGUGAUUGCUUGCAUUUGUGUGUAUGACUUUGGAUUCUCCUCUUGACAUAUGGUUGGUUCGCUUUGUCCCUUAUUGGUUUGGUUGCUGGUUAUUAUAUGUCUCAUGUAUAUAAUGUCCUGGAUAUGGUUACACACGGGUGGUGGGGAGUGGCUGCCAGUUUGUUUGGGUGUGGAUUUAUGUGUUUAUAUCAGUAUAGUCGGUGUAGUCAUUGUAUGUUUCUUUUUGUAGCUUAGUCGGUUGUCUUUUUGUUUCUAGUGUGGCUUUGUGUGUUAUGUUAGCCUGAGCCACCCCUGUGCUAUUGCACCAGAUUCUUGAAUAUUUCUGUAUCUGAACAUCAAAACUUGUAAAUACACUUGACCACAACCUGUUUGUCUCAUUUGUAUUUCAUUA